rnacentral:lncRNA from 1 species
CCAAUGGCAGAAGUAGCUGUCAACCACUCAAUCAGACGGAAACUCAGCUCCCAGUUCCAGAGUAUAGCUAUGGGAGAAGAAGUGAUUAGCUGAGGUGUCAGUGGAGACAGCUUGUGGCUUAUUCACACAGGUAUGCGUCCAUCCUCACAAGAACAGGAGUGCUGGGGAGCUAGCCUGAAGGAAGACUGUUUGUUUCUUUUUUCCUAAGAUUAGUUUUGCUUCUGAGUGCACCAAAUGUCUAUGGAUUGGAAGCUCAACAGCUCUAUUCAUAUUGAACCUGGCAAGCUUUGAAUUGGAAGCCGCUUUACACUUCAAGGGUAAGAAUUGAAUUCAGUAUGGUUUAUGGCAGUCUCUUAUAGCUUGAUAGCUUUCUUAAAAAGAUAGAUGAGGAAUAAAAGUUUGGGGUAGAAAGCCGAUCACUUGCAUUUGAGGAUGAGUUUAUCAGUAACCAAACAUGGCACAGGCUCAGACUGCUGGGACCCCCUGUGCUGCGGAACCUGAAGGACGGAGCUUUACUUCUGCUCUUCCGGGUCAUCCGGCACCUCCGUUUUUCAAAUAUGUCUCUCAGGCUCUGUGAGGCUCGCCCCCAUCCUUGUGUGUCAGGAGUCUGUGGAACCCUCCUUUCUCCGAGUGUGGUAGGCUCCCGUGAUGCUCUCCUUCCAUCUUUGUGUCGGGCUCCUUAUGAGGCUCUCCCUUCUCCCUGUGCCAAUCACACAUGUACCGGGCACCUAGACACACGGAGGCUCCCGCAGGCUCUCCUCUUCACGUGUGCGCCAUCAGUACUGAUUUAACACCUGACAAGGUCUAAACAGCCUAGCGUUCUCCUCUCUAGCUCUGUGUUCUUAGUCUCUCCCUGGAAGAAAGGUAGGAAUGCUUACCCACACCUCCUCCUGCCCAGCAGCCCCAUGCUCUUGUGUGCCUCCGUUCUUCUCUGUCUAUGUGGGAGAUGGGGGUUAGCUCCCUCCGUAGCUUCUGAGGCUUGCCUGCUCUUGAUGGUGAGCAGGAAUGCUGCUCGGACCUUUCCCACAGCUCCGUUCUCUGUAACACUCUGCUCCUGUCAGGUGCUCUGAAACAGGACUUCCUGUCAUUUCCUGCUUCUCCAGAAGUGUAACAUAUGUAUUAUACUAUGUGUUCCUCUCAGCUGCGGGCUCUGGCUGCACACCCUCGCCAGCACUCACAGCCUCACUCCCCUGCAUCGGUGUCCUGGCACAUUCCUUACAAGCUAUGUGACAAAGGACUCAUCUCUUUUCACAUUGUGUCCCCAACUCUGUAUAUCAUAUGGUACAAUAGCACUAAUUUAGUACUUAUAACUAGGCUGAACAAACAAGUCAGCUACUUGUUUCCCUGUAUUAAUUUCUCAAAUAUUUAUCUUUGAUGAAAAUGAAGAAUUUCAGAGCCUGAGCGUCCAAGUUGCUGGGUCGUGUGCAAUGGUGAGCGAGCCCAUGAGCGCCAAGGUCAGUGUGAAACUCGUGCCAUGGGCAGUGUGUCAGAUGCGCCCUCUAUGCUCUGAUGUGUGCCUCUUCACUAUGCCAGUGUAAUAACAUCUUGAUGAUAUUUCAUAUGUGAAAUUAUGACCGGCUAUCCUGUUUGUACAUGUGAAACAGAGCUAACUGUUAAAGCUGUGUUCAUGACUGGAGAGAUGGGGCGUACCCACAAGCCUCUGGUCCAGCCAUGCUGCUAAUCUUUUACAUGUCUCCUAGGCAUUUUGCAUGCUUUCAUCUAUGUUUGGGAGUAAGAUUGCUGUAUUGGAAAUUGACUUGGCUGCUCUGCUCAGCACUCAGCAGUACCCUCGGGCAGGAAAGGUGCUUUCUGUGCUGGCAAGGUACAGUCUUUUUGGAUAUUGAAUUGCUUGUGAGUGCUUACAAGUGAACAACAUUUUAGAUCUUUUUCAUGGGAACAGACACAGGUGAAAAUGGGAAAGUCUCAACCACACUAAUGCUAUAUGAAAGAACUAAUUUGUUAUGUCAUGAUUUUAUUUUACUGAAACCUAAAUGAUUCAUAGUUUAAUAUAAAUAUUAGUUUAUUAAAAAACAACAUAAAUUCUAAUGUAGCAGUUCCAUUAAAAUGUCAAUAUUUUUCUCAUUAAGAUAAUGACGUUGGUAGUUUAAUUUCCAAAUAUUGUACAUGUAUACUUUUUAACAUGAGUUAAUCUUACAUUGUCCUUAAAAUAAUAUGUUGCAUUGAAACAGUUUUAAAAUAUCAUUGUUUUCUCUCACAAUGUGGUUAUUUUUAUUUUAGCUCCUGUGUCCUGCCAACUUCUCCACUGUAUUUUGGAAUUAUUAAGGAAAAAUUUCCUAAGCUUGCCAAUACCAAACAACAUGGUUAGUAUAGCACACUGUGAAACACACAUGCAGAGGCAGCCAGUUCCUCGCAGUCACAGACUCAACAUUGCUGAAUCCCUUUGUGAAGUCACUUCUGCCAAAAGUGAAAUGCACUGCAGCCUCUCCUGCCCGUCUCGGAGUUACUGCGUUACCUUUGUUAGGGAAUACACUGCACACUUCUCCCCCUGAUUUUGGUACGCCCCUCAAGGGUGUGUCUCAAUGCUGAUGUGAUAGUUUGGGCACACUGCAGUAGACCCUGGGUGUUGCACAGUUGCUGUCACAUCGUGCACACUUCAGGGUAAGUUUCUGAGAUACCUAGCCACAGUCAUAUUCUGUCACAAUUAGAAGUCAUUCCUUCUAUUAUCCAGUCCAUAAUAAAUUAUCGUUGAUGAUCU